rnacentral:sRNA from 1 species
CUGACUUGGAGCCUCUCUUCCUAUACCUGUGCAAUUCUUCUACGUUUUGUGAUCAUGCUGGCUUUAAAUAUAUGGGUAACAGUGACAGUACUUCGCUACCGGAAGACCGCUAUAAAGGCUGAAUGAUGGAUACAUUAUUCCUUCACACAGGGGAUUCUGAGCAACGGAACCAAAGGAAAAAGAAGAUCUUUGCUAAAUUAAGGUCUUUUAUAAAUUUAGUAAAUCAGUUUAUAAUCUUUGAAGCCAAAGGCUUUUUUAGACUUGAAAGAGCCACUGAAAUACCUGUUUAAAAAUACCAAUUUUCCUCCUACUUCCUCACUUCAUUAGGUUAUGGUACUGCUCAGACAUCUGCAGUGUUGAGAAGGCAGUGACUGUUGGAAGUCAUCCAAGAAGCCCAUUUUGAGGCCAUUUUGACCCUUACUCUUAAGUUCUCUAUGAAGAACGACAUCGAUUUGUUGGCUUUC